UACGGGGGGGCAAGCGUUGUUCGGAAUUACUGGGCGUAAAGGGCUCGUAGGCGGCCAACUAAGUCAGACGUGAAAUCCCUCGGCUUAACCGGGGAACUGCGUCUGAUACUGGAUGGCUUGAGUGUGGGAGAGGGAUGCGGAAUUCCAGGUGUAGCGGUGAAAUGCGUAGAUAUCUGGAGGAACACCGGUGGCGAAGGCGGCAUCCUGGACCAUGACUGACGCUGAGG
rnacentral:rRNA from 1 species